rnacentral:rRNA from 1 species
CGUAGGGUGCAAGCGUUAAUCGGAAUUACUGGGCGUAAAGCGUGCGCAGGCGGUUUCAAGACAGAUGUGAAAUCCCCGGGCUUAACCUGGGAAUGGCAUUUGUGACUGGAAGGCUAGAGUGUGUCAGAGGGGGUAGAAUUCCACGUGUAGCAGUGAAAUGCGUAGAGAUGUGGAGGAAUACCGAUGGCGAAGGCAGCCCCCUGGGAUAACACUGACGCUCAUGCACGAAAGCGUGGGAGCAAACAGGAUU